UACGGGGGGAGCAAGCGUUGUUCGGAUUUACUGGGCGUAAAGGGCGCGUAGGCGGCGCGACAAGUCACUUGUGAAAUCUCCGGGCUUAACUCGGAACGGUCAAGUGAAACUGUCAUGCUAGAGUGCAGAAGGGGCAAUCGGAAUUCUUGGUGUAGCGGUGAAAUGCGUAGAUAUCAAGAGGAACACCUGAGGUGAAGACGGGUUGCUGGGCUGACACUGAGGCGCGAAAGCGUGGGGAGCAAACAGG
rnacentral:rRNA from 1 species